GCCAAGAUAACAAACAAAUAUAAUACUUGGGUAAUAGGGCAAACUGGCAAAGCCAAUUUAAAAACAAAUCAUCACUAAAUACCUUCAUCGCGAACAUGAAUUUCAGAGAACACAGAGGCUAAAUGUUUUAUAUUUCUCAACCUAUAUCCAUCUUCAUCAUUGCCAGGCAGACCUGGAAAAACAUCAACCAACUCUGUAGCUCUAGCAUCGUUUUGUAAUUUCAUCGUCUUCCCCAAAGAGCUAUUCACAUUUAUACACACGCAGGUUCAUCAUCACGAUGUCUUAGCCGUCUCCUCGAUGCUUUGCUCUCCUCUUUCGCUUUAUUAUUGCCCUUUGUAUCCCAGAGAAACCUUUUCCUUUCCUAGUCAUCUUUAUAUAGUGUUUUUUCCUUUCUACCCAACCAUAUUCAACUAAAAUAUGGCUUUUUCCUCAACACAAGCACAGACUACUACACAAACCAGACACAGUACUAAAAUGCGGUGCCCUGCAAAAAACAUUUCUGGCGUUUCGCCUACAAGUAAACUUAUAUAAAAUAAUACGCUAGAUGGGGCCCCUAGAUUUCUCCUGUUGGCUAAUACAUGAAGUUUCUAGCCUUACUUUUUUGCUGUUUUUGGCCCACUUAUGAA